AGUCGAGCGAUGAAGCUUCCUUCGGGAAGUGGAUUAGCGGCGGACGGGUGAGUAACACGUGGGUAACCUGCCUCAAAGUGGGGGAUAGCCUUCCGAAAGGAAGAUUAAUACCGCAUAACAUAAGAGAAUCGCAUGAUUUUCUUAUCAAAGAUUUAUUGCUUUGAGAUGGACCCGCGGCGCAUUAGCUAGUUGGUAAGGUAACGGCUUACCAAGGCAACGAUGCGUAGCCGACCUGAGAGGGUGAUCGGCCACAUUGGAACUGAGACACGGUCCAGACUCCUACGGGAGGCAGCAGUGGGGAAUAUUGCGCAAUGGGGGAAACCCUGACGCAGCAACGCCGCGUGGGUGAUGAAGGUCUUCGGAUUGUAAAGCCCUGUUUUCUGGGACGAUAAUGACGGUACCAGAGGAGGAAGCCACGGCUAACUACGUGCCAGCAGCCGCGGUAAUACGUAGGUGGCGAGCGUUGUCCGGAUUUACUGGGCGUAAAGGGUGCGUAGGCGGAUGUUUAAGUGGGAUGUGAAAUCCCCGGGCUUAACCUGGGGGCUGCAUUCCAAACUGGAUAUCUAGAGUGCAGGAGAGGAAAGCGGAAUUCCUAGUGUAGCGGUGAAAUGCGUAGAGAUUAGGAAGAACACCAGUGGGCGAAGGCGGCUUUCUGGACUGUAACUGACGCUGAGGCACGAAAGCGUGGGUAGCAAACAGGAUU
rnacentral:rRNA from 1 species